rnacentral:lncRNA from 1 species
AGAGGCAGCCAACCAUACUAUUUAUCAGUAAUACUAAUUGUUGUAAACAUCAAGAAUUGUUAUCCCGGUAAUCUUCUGUCGUAAGCUUAUUAGCUGGACAAUUAUAAUGAGCAAUUGUCGGGUACCAAGGACCAAGGACGUGAAUAUUUGGAAAUAGACAUAUUGGUGAAAGAAGAGUGGCACUGAAUAUGCAAGAGGCUGUGGCCAUUGACUCUAAGGGACAAGUGCAUAAGUCCAAUCGCUCAAGUUUUUGAGAAAAGAUCAGCUAGAUGAAGAGGAGGUUGCUCUAUGUACAAAAUCCUCUAGAGCAUCUGCCCAUCUCCUCUGAUCCUCUCUCAGGUGGUGACUCGGGCAGUAUGGCCGCGCGCCUACCAGUCUCCAAAUAUGCUCAAAUCAAUUGACCAUCGCCAACAACAUUACCUAUAUGUACAAAUUGGAUUGGAAGUAUGUCAGGACAAAGAAAUUGUUUUGUGGAAAAAGGAAUCGUACAUGAAAAUGAAAUAAAUAUAGGGGGACCUGGUGUAUUGUUGUUCCCAUACAAAUGUCCUCUUGUACAGUGCCCUCCAUCACCUCCAGCCUGAAUUAUGCAGUUGCUGGAGCACCAUCGAGAAGAACAGGUUGCCCUACAAGAGUACCCUGUACAAGAAGAAGAGAGGAGGAUUAAAUUAGAAUAGGCGUUGAUCCACCGUCGCCGGCUAGGAGCAGGAUGAGACGUCAUCCGCUCUACCGCCACCGUUGCCGCCAGAGCUAUGGAUGUAGAUAUGUGUUCCAAAGGCCAGCGGCCCAUGCCGCAC